rnacentral:rRNA from 1 species
GACGAACGCUGGCGGCGUGCUUAACACAUGCAAGUCGAACGGUGAUGCUCCAGCUUGCUGGAGUGGAUCAGUGGCGAACGGGUGAGUAACACGUGAGCAACCUGCCCCAGACUCUGGAAUAAGCGCUGGAAACGGCGUCUAAUACUGGAUACGAAACUGGCCCGCAUGGGCAUGGUUUGGAAAGUUUUUCGGUUUGGGAUGGGCUCGCGGCCUAUCAGCUUGUUGGUGAGGUAAUGGCUCACCAAGGCGACGACGGGUAGCCGGCCUGAGAGGGCGACCGGCCACACUGGGACUGAGACACGGCCCAGACUGCUACGGGAGGCAGCGGUGGGGAAUAUUGCACAAUGGGCGAAAGCCUGAUGCAGCGACGCCGCGUGAGGGAUGACGGCCUUCGGGUUGUAAACCUCUUUCAGCAGGGAAGAAGCGAAAGUGACGGUACCUGCAGAAGAAGCACCGGCUAACUACGUG